UGCGCAGGCGGUCUUGCAAGACAGGUGUGAAAUCCCCGGGCUUAACGUGGGCAUUGCAUUUGAAACUAUGUAGCUAGAGUUCUGUAGAGGGGGGUAGAAUUCCAGGUGUAGCGGUGAAAUGCGUAGAGAUGUGGAGGAAUACCGAUUGCGAAGGCAGCCCCCUGGACAGUGACUGACGCUCAUAUGCGAAAGCGUGGGGAUCAAACAGGAUUAGAUACCCUAGUA
rnacentral:rRNA from 1 species